rnacentral:rRNA from 1 species
ACUCAAAGGAAUAGACGGGGGCCCGCACAAGCAGUGGAUUAUGUGGUUUAAUUCGAAGCAACGCGAAGAACCUUACCAGGUCUUGACAUCCCUUGCAUAACCUAGAGAUAGGUGAAGUCUUCGGACAAGGAGACAGGUGGUGCAUGGUUGUCGUCAGCUCGUGUCGUGAGAUGUUGGGUUAAGUCCCGCAACGAGCGCAACCCUUACUAUUAGUUGCUACGCAAGAGCACUCUAAUGGGACUGCCGUUGACAAAACGGAGGAAGGUGGGGAUGACGUCAAAUCAUCAUGCCCUUUAUGACCUGGGCUACACACGUAAUACAAUGGCAAUUAACAACGGGAAGCGAAGCGGCGACGUGGAGCAAAUCCCCAAAAAUUGUCUCAGUUCGGAUCGCAGGCUGCAACUCGCCUGCGUGAAGUCGGAAUUGCUAGUAAUCGCGGAUCAGCAUGCCGCGGUGAAUACGUUCCCGGGCCUUGCACACACCGCCCGU